CAAUGGAAUGAUGAUAAAGGUUAAAUUCGGAAAUAUUAAUUUAUUCUGUCGACCAAAACUCAGACUACAAUUAUCUGAUCGCUU